GAUGAACGCUGGCGGCGUGCCUAAUACAUGCAAGUCGAACGAAUCUUCUUCGGAAGAUGAGUGGCGAACGGGUGAGUAAUACAUAGGUAACCUGCCCCUGUGCGGGGGAUAACAGGAGGAAACUCCUGCUAAUACCGCAUAGCCAUGAGCACCGCAUGGAGCUCAUGCCAAAUAUCCUUCAGGGGAUAGCGCAGGGAUGGACCUAUGGCGCAUUAGCUAGUUGGCGGGGCAACGGCCCACCAAGGCAACGAUGCGUAGCCGGCCUGAGAGGGCGGACGGCCACAUUGGGACUGAGACACGGCCCAGACUCCUACGGGAGGCAGCAGUAGGGAAUUUUCGGCAAUGGGGGAAACCCUGACCGAGCAACGCCGCGUGAGCGAAGAAGGCCU
rnacentral:rRNA from 1 species